UGGCUGAGGGAACGGCAGAUUAACAGUGAGAGCUGACGUGGUCACCAUGCUGUCCUCUACCCACCUGCUCCUGCCUGUAGUGUUCUGGCUCGCUGGUGUCAGCGGUGAGAUUAUAAUGACACAGACGCCCUCAAUGCUGCCAGUGACUGUCGGUCAAACAGCCACCAUCACCUGUAAAGCGAGUAGCAGCAUCAGCAAGUACCUUUCCUGGUAUCAACAGAAAGCCGGGGAUCGUCCCAAACUUCUCAUUUACUAUGGAACAACUCUCUAUACGGGCACCCCCGCCCGGUUCAGUGGUCACCAAUCCUCCACUACUUUUACAAUGACCAUCACUGGCGUGCAACCUGAGGAUUUUGCUGACUACUACUGUAUGCAGAGCUAUAGCAACCCGUGGUCGUUCGGCAAAGGAACAAAAUUGGUUCUGAACAGAGACGUGGCUAAGCCGGUGUUGACUUUACUGCCGCCCUCGACUGAGGAGAUAUCUAAGGGCACGGCCACGCUGCUCUGCCUGGCCAACCACUUCUUCCCCGACACUCUGCAGUUGGUUUGGCAGAAGGACAUGGUGACGGUGACCGACGGAGUCAAGACCAGCGGCUCAGUGACGGGCUCGGACCACAGUUACAGUGUGAGCAGCACCUUAACCCUGCCCGCACAGGUCUGGGCCUCGGACGCCCGCUUCUCCUGUGUCGUCACACACGAAAGCCUCACGGGCCCCCUCACACAGACCAUCAGGGCAACCGAGUGCGUGUAGUGACUGUCAAUGUCACAGACACCAGCCGGAAGAUACAGGGAGAAUGAGGCGGGGGUGGCUACAGUCAUCCCCGUCUCUCUGACGUGUUCAAAUCCCCCCCCCCCCCACGCACCCACACACAUAUAGUCUGUAAGCGCUCUUAGAUGCUACCCUGCAUGAGGGCGCUAUGUAAAUGCAAGUUGUUAUUGUUGAGUAACUGAAGCCCAGAGCGAGCACAUCCGCCCUACUGCUGCCCCGCUCACACUCCCCCUGUGCUGGCUUCAGGCCUCUCUCGCAGGCAGCUCGGCUCAGACUCUCAGUUGCUCAUUGUAUGCCUUUCCCUCUCUGUAAACACCCGGUCGCGUUGAGAAAAUAAAAUAAAAAAACUUUCAAUCGUC